GCUUCCGUAGCUCAGUGGAUUCAGAGCAGGCGCGUCCUAAGCGCACGGUCACAGGUUCGAGUCCUGUCGGGAGCA
rfam:Myxococcus stipitatus DSM 14675, complete genome.